AUACUGCCUGGCCCUUCAGACAGUGCUAGCGCUGACGCUAACCGCGGUUACCACGGGGAGGAGAGGGACCUUACAGCCAGCCAGAGGACGCAGAGCUCAUCGGAGGUCACUUUGCUUGGACAAAAGGAAAGGUACAUCUGGGAGAUUUGGUCCUUGAAGAAACACUUUAGUGCAGCAGCCGAAUCCAAGCGCCUAAGUUCUUGGAAUUAAAGAAAUCCAGUUUGACAUGUGAAAUUGCACAGGGUCUUUGACAACUGCAAGAAACGGACGGCCUGCUCUUAAAAGGCUCCUGUCACAGCAGCA